rnacentral:tRNA from 1 species
GGGUCGUUGACAGAGCGGUUUAUGUACCGGACUCUUAAUCCGUGCCAGCUGGGUUCGACUCCCAGGCGACCCACCA